UACGAAGGGGGCUAGCGUUGCUCGGAAUGACUGGGCGUAAAGGGCGCGUAGGCGGCCUGCUUGGUCCGGCGUGAAAGCCCUGGGCUCAACCUGGGGACGGCGCUGGAGACGGGUGGGCUCGAGGGUGGCAGAGGCUCGCGGAAUUCCCAGUGUAGAGGUGAAAUUCGUAGAUAUUGGGAAGAACACCGGUGGCGAAGGCGGCGAGCUGGGCCAUCACUGACGCUGAGGCGCGACAGCGUGGGGAGCAAACAGGAUUAGAUACCCCAGUAGUCC
rnacentral:rRNA from 1 species